GUUUGCAUAUUUUUUUCCUCAGGGGUAUAGUAUCUUGCGCUAGGAUUUGACGAGCCCUGUUCUCUUCCUCCUCUACAAAUUGAAUUGUUGGUUGAUAUAUUUUCCGAAAAAUUUUGAUGCUCUUACUUGUGUCAUUUGGUGAAUUGCUUGUCCAACUCGAUUGAUUGUCGGCUUUAGUUGAAUCUGGUGGAAAUGGGUUUUACAGGUGAAUCUUUCAUGUUAGGGCUGACCGCUGUUUGUAUUAGGCAGAUAAUAUUUUCUUUUAUUAAUUUUCUUUUUUUUUUCUUUAAUUUUUAUUUAUUUCUUUUUCCAACAGAAGAGAGAACUGAUAAUAAAUUAUAAAUAGCUUGUGGUGGUGGUGGUGACUUCGCCCCUUAAGUACAAUUCAUUCUUCCUUUUUUU
rnacentral:misc_RNA from 1 species